rnacentral:pre_miRNA from 1 species
AAUGCACUCCCUCCGUUCGGAAUUACUUAUCUUGAAAAUGGAUGUAUCUAGAAUGAAAAUACGUCUAGAUACAUUCAUUUUUACGACAAGUAAUUCCGAAUGGAGGGAGUAUAUA